CUGUGGUUCAAUGGCAGAACGCCGGACUGUCGAUCCGGGGACAUGGGUUCGAUUCCCGUCAGAG
rnacentral:tRNA from 1 species